rnacentral:lncRNA from 1 species
GGGAUCCAUCCUGUGCUGGCUGCUGUUUCCAAGACAGUCUCAGGAACAGCAGGAUUGACUACUGUUUGGGUGCCAGCAAGAGCAAGGAGGGCUCAGCAUUUGGGGAUUCGUAGCAAAAGAGGGGUGCAGCAAAGCGGCUCUAGGGCACGAUUGGUGAGGAAGCAGUGCUCACUCAAGGGAGAUCAUCCUGGCAUUUUCCAGCUAUAGGUUGACCCCGGGAGAAAUGGCAUUUUCGGCGGAUGCUGCAGCUGGCUUUAUCAGAGUGUGUCCUCCCAGCGGGAUUAACAGCUAGGCUGCUUUCUUCUCUUUUCAGUCCAGGCUGAUUUUGACUGUCACAGAGAAAAGUGUUCAAGAAGAUGUUGAAGAAAUAUUCACCCUGACUGCAAAUCCCCACACUGAGAAGUAUUCCUUCUAUUUACUUUGUACCUCCUAUAAUAACAAGGACAGCCUUCUUCACAUGGUUGUCAUGCAAAUGCCUAUAGAAUAAAUGAAUGCAUGCAAGAACGAAUGAGUUAUAUGUUUUAAAUAACGUUUUGGUUUUUUUAAAAAUGUGCUAAAUGUUUUAGGUAUGUUAACUCCUUAUGCCAACCUUAUGAACAUGUCAUAGGACAAUCUAUUGUUAUCCUCAUUUUACAGAUAAGGAAACGGAGGCUUUGAGGCAUUAAGGCGCUUGCACAAGGUUGCAGCAAGUGUGGAAUCGGGACCAGAAGACAGACAAGACAGGUUGGUCUGACUCCAGAACCUGCAGGCUGCGAUGAUACAGCUCAAGAGUGACACUGCUCCCUCAGAAGCCUGUGCCACCUCUUGUAUUUCGGAAUACGCUCAGCUUACAAACUACAGUUCCAAUGGCCAAUACGAUAAAAGGAAGUUAUUGGGUGAAACCUCAGGAAAUGCUAUUGAAGGGGAAGCUUAUGCUUCUGACAGUCAGCCUCUGAGCUUUCCCUCUUCUUUCUUUUCCCUGCCUGGGACUCAGGAGUGAGAGGGGAGCUGAAGCAGAUGUCGUGACCAUGAUGUAGGCUUGUGGAGAAAUGCCAUGUUUUAGGACUGGUGAAGCAGAAGACAGAGUUGGGGUCUCUCAUGACAUCGUGGGGCCUCCCUAGCAGCCCUGGACCACCUGCUUCUGAGAAAUUUCAGAUUACAUAAGAGAAAGACACCCCUACCUAGCUGAAGCCCCUGUGACUCGGCAUAUGUUGGUAGCAGCCACAUGCAGUUCCUCACCGGCUCACACAUAUUAGUGGGCGGCUUUAAGGAGAGACCUUGUCACACUCUGGCCCUCGCUGUCUUUAUAAAAUGUGGCCAUGACUUUGAUAACCCCAUGGGCCCUCCCAGCUCUCACAUGACAGCCCCCCAUUUCCCCCUCCUGAGUCUGGGGGUGACUCAGUGCAGAGUUUCCUUGGUCUCAUCUGUCUCUCUCUCUCCUUUCUCUGCGAUGCAGCAGCCUGGUUGGGGCCUAGAAGGCUUCAGGCCAGCCAUCCAGAUCACCUGUUGCUGCCCCUCCAAUGUGGCCCGAAGGGGUCGCUCUCAGCGCACCUUCAGAGCUGGAGGGUCCUUGUGGCCAGCAGGCUAGGUGGACAUUGUCCCUGCAAGCUCAGCCCCGCCCUUCCCAUUCCAAGCCGCCUCUGUUGCCUCUCCUCCUCAGUGGAAUGAAAGCAAAACUUCAGCAAAAGACAGCAAUUGGAGAAUUGCUUAAAUGAAGAAGAAAUAGCAGUCACAGCCCAAUGUCCAUCAAGUGGCUACAUUUGGAAUUGGCCACAUGGGGUCACUGCACCCUCAGGAAUGGAGGGACUUCGGCAGGGUGCCUCUGUCUCUGAAGCAUGGACUGGAGAAAGCUGCUGCCUGUGGAAGGGAUGGGAGAUGCUCCUUUUCUGCAAAGUUGAGCUGCCUGGGACAUGCUAAGUCCCUCCCCACGGCCAGGCGGGAAGGCGCUUAGUGUAAGGCCUUGAACCAGAGAACAGUCUUCCAAAAUAUUACUCUUACCGUGAUUUUCAUUGUUAUUACAGGAUUUUGGAAUUCCUACGUACUCUUUUUGUUGUUGUUCACAGCUGAUGAAAUCUGUAGAUCCUCUCUGUAAAAAGGUGUGAAUAUCAAAUGCAAUAAAUCCAGGUCCUGGAUGGUGAGU